AAAAACAAGGUACCACCGUGAAUGCGCCCGAUCGUGUCUAAUCAUGGAAGCUAAGCAGGGUCAGGCCUGGUUAGUACUUGGAGGGGAGCAAAACAGGGGUUUGUCUUAU
ensembl:rRNA 5S_rRNA 5S ribosomal RNA